GCUACACACAAAAAGUCGUAAUGUGAGAAGGCGAGGGGAGACUCGUGGAGAAACCUGGAUGUUCCCGCACUAGGAGGUGCCUAAUGAAAGGAGGGCAGCUUCAUGCUGUGGAAGACACGCAGGCCCUGGAGGAAUGCCCUGGGCAGUUACUACGCGGGUACAAUGAGAUGCACUACAACCCCAGCACUGCGACAAACAGGCAAUGCACACUCAUUUUAAAGAAUUCAAGAAAUUCAGAAAACUGCUAUGGACUGGGUCAAAUUGUCCUGCCAUGGGAAUGGCUGGAGAGGACAGGGUCCACGGAGUCACCUGGCACCUUCCCUGUCACACGCGGGGGUCAAGAAUGAAGCACCAUGGCUCCAACCGGAACGCUCGCAUCCGCACGUGGCCAGGAACACACAGCCCUGGGCACAGCUGCUGCUGCGGGCCUCUCUGCCCUGCUGCCCCAGCUGUCCACAAGUGGGAAGCCGCGUCCCAUGCAUCUCCCAGUCCCAGGAGGCAGUGGGAGCACCCCACAUCCUUCCCGCAGUGGGCUGGGAUUCUCGGGGCUACUCACAGCCAGACACAGAAGCCCUGUCCACCUCCAUCCCUGGGGCUGGGUCCAGGGCUCCUGCCUUCCCCAUCCGAUUGGCAGCUGUUGGAGACCCCUGCAACAAGUGCAUGGAAAAGGCAUAUUAUAGGCUGGCGCCGUGGCUCACUAGGCUAAUCCUCCACCUUGUGGCACCGGCACACCGGGUUCUAGUCCCGAUCGGGGCGCUGGAUUCUGUCCCGGUUGCCCCUCUUCCAGGCCAGCUCUCUGCUGUGGCCCGGGAGUGCAGUGGAGGAUGGCCCAAGUGCUUGGGCGCUGCACCCCAUGGGAGACCAGGAGAAGCACCUGGCUCCUGCCAUUGGAUCAGCGCGGUGUGCCGGCCGCAGCGCACCAGCCACGGUGGCCAUUGGGGGGUGAACCAAUGGCAAAAGGAAGACCUUUCUCUCUGUCUCUCUCUCUCUCACUGUCCACUCUGCCUGUCAAAAAAAAAAAAAAAAAGGCAUAUUAUGAGAAAACUGUGCAUGGAUUUUAGAUGUUUCCACCAAAACAAGCUUAUCCUUUUCUAUAAAAAAUCAUUUUGA
rnacentral:lncRNA from 1 species